rnacentral:rRNA from 1 species
GAAUAUUGGACAAUGGGGGGAACCCUGCUCCAGCCAUGCCGCGUGUGUGAAGAAGGCCUUUUGGUUGUAAGGCACUUUAAGCGAGGAGGAGGCUACUCUAGUUACUACCUAGAGAUAGUGGACGUUACUCACAGAAUAAGCACCGCCUAACCCCGUGCCAGCAGCCGCGGUAAUACAGAGGGUGCAAGCGUUAAUCGGAUUUACUGGGCGUAAAGCGCGCGUAGGUGGCCAAUUAAGUCAAAUGUGAAAUCCCCGAGCUUAACUUGGGAAUUGCAUUCGAUACUGGUUGGCUAGAGUAUGGGAGAGGAUGGUAGAAUUCCAGGUGUAGCGGUGAAAUGCGUAGAGAUCUGGAGGAAUACCGAUGGCGAAGGCAGACAUCUGGCCUACUACUGACACUGAGGUGCGAAAGCAUGGGGAGCAAACA